rnacentral:rRNA from 1 species
AUUGAACGCUGGCGGCGUGCUUAACACAUGCAAGUCGAACGAAGUGGAGAACGGGUGAGUAACGCGUAAACAACCUGCCCUUCAGAGGGGGACAACAGUUGGAAACGACUGCUAAUACCGCAUACGGAAGGAGGGGAUUGAGUCUGAUUAGCAAGUGGGAGGGGUAACGGCCCACCAGGGCGAGGAUCAGUAGCGUGUCUGAGAGGAUGAACGGCCACAUUGGGACUGAGACACGGCCCAGACUCCUACGGGAGGCAGCAGUGGGGAAUCUUCCGCAAUGGACGAAAGUCUGACGGAGCAACGCCGCGGGAGUGAUGACGGCCUUCGGGUUGUAAAGCUCUGUUAAUCGGGACGCGGUACCGGAAUAGAAAGCCACGGCUAACUACGUGCCAGCAGCCGCGGUAAUUC